rnacentral:rRNA from 1 species
UUCCGGUUGAUCCUGCCGGAGGUUACUGCUAUCGGUGUUCGCCUAAGCCAUGCGAGUCAUAUGUAGCAAUACAUGGCGUACUGCUCAGUAACACGUGGAUAACCUGCCCUUGGGUCCGGCAUAACCCCGGGAAACUGGGGAUAAUUCCGGAUAACGCACAUAUGCUGGAAUGCUUUAUGCGUCAAAUGGAUUCGUCUGCCCAAGGAUGGGUCUGCGGCCUAUCAGGUAGUAGUGGGUGUAAUGUACCUACUAGCCGACAACGGGUACGGGUUGUGAGAGCAAGAGCCCGGAGAUGGAUUCUGAGACAUGAAUCCAGGCCCUACGGGGCGCAGCAGGCGCGAAAACUUUACAAUGCGGGAAACCGUGAUAAGGGGACACCGAGUGUCAGCAUCAUAUGCUGGCUGUCCAGGUGUGUAAAAUACACCUGUUAGCAAGGGCCGGGCAAGACCGGUGCCAGCCGCCGCGGUAACACCGGCGGCCCGAGUGGUGAUCGUGAUUAUUGGGUCUAAAGGGUCCGUAGCCGGUUUGGUCAGUCCUCCGGGAAAUCUGAUAGCUCAACUAUUAGGCUAUCGGGGGGUACUGCCAGGCUUGGAACCGGGAGAGGUAAGAGGUACUACAGGGGUAGGAGUGAAAUCUUGUAAUCCCUGUGGGACCACCUGUGGCGAAGGCGUCUUACCAGAACGGGUUCGACGGUGAGGGACGAAAGCUGGGGGCACGAACCGGAUUAGAUACCCGGGUAGUCCCAGCCGUAAACGAUGCUCGCUAGGUGUCACGCAUGGCGCGACCGUGUCUGGUGCCGCAGGGAAGCCGUGAAGCGAGCCACCUGGGAAGUACGGCCGCAAGGCUGAAACUUAAAGGAAUUGGCGGGGGGAGCAC